rnacentral:rRNA from 1 species
UACGAGGGGGGCAAGCGUUGUUCGGAAUUACUGGGCGUAAAGCGCGCGUAGGCGGCUUUGCAAGUCGGUUGUGAAAUCCCCGGGCUUAACCUGGGAACUGCAUUCGAGACUGCAUUGCUAGAGUACGGGAGAGGAAAGUGGAAUUCCUGGUGUAGCGGUGAAAUGCGUAGAUAUCAGGAGGAACACCGGUGGUGUAGACGGCUUUCUGGACCGUAACUGACGCUGAGACACGAAAGCGUGGGUAGCAAACAGG